GAUGAAGAACGCAGCGAAAUGCGAUAAGUAAUGUGAAUUGCAGAAUUCAGUGAAUCAUCGAAUCUUUGAACGCUCAUUGCGCCCCCCAGUAUUCUGGCGGGCAUGCCUGUUCGAGCGUCAUUUCAACCAUCAAGCCCUGCUUGUGUUGGGGUCCUGCGGCUGCCCGCAGGCCCUGAAAACCAGUGGCGGGCUCGCUAGUCACACCGAGCGCAGUAGCACAUCUCGCUCAGGGCGUGCGGCGGGCUCCAGCCGUUAAAGCACCCACCUUUCGCAAGGUUGACCUCGGAUCAGGUAGGAAUACCCGCUGAACUUAAGCAUAUCAAUAAGCGGAGGA
rnacentral:misc_RNA from 1 species